AGAGUUUGAUCAUGGCUCAGAACGAACGCUGGCGGCAUGCCUAACACGUGCAAGUCGAACGAGACCUUCGGGUCUAGUGGCGCACGGGUGCGUAACGCGUGGGAAUCUACCCUUGGGUUCGGAAUAACAGUUAGAAAUGACUGCUAAUACCGGAUAAUGACGUAAGUCCAAAGAUUUAUCGCCCAAGGAUGAGCCCGCGUAGGAUUAGCUAGUUGGUGGGGUAAAAGCCUACCAAGGCUACGAUCCUUAGCUGGUCUGAGAGGAUGAUCAGCCACACUGGGACUGAGACACGGCCCAGACUCCUACGGGAGGCAGCAGUGGGGAAUAUUGGACAAUGGGCGAAAGCCUGAUCCAGCAAUGCCGCGUGAGUGAUGAAGGCCUUAGGGUUGUAAAGCUCUUUUACCCGGGAUGAUAAUGACAGUACCGGGAGAAUAAGCCCCGGCUAACUCCGUGCCAGCCGCCGCGGUAAUUC
rnacentral:rRNA from 1 species